UGCCAGCAGCCGCGGUAAGACGGAGGGCGCAAGCGUUGUUCGGAAUUACUGGGCGUAAAGCGCGGGCAGGUGGUUCGUUAAGUCGUUUGUGAAAAUCCGGGGCUCAACCCCGCGAAAUGCAGACGAUACUGGCGAGCUGGAGAUCGGUAGAGGCUAGCGGAAUUCCUGGUGUAGCGGUGGAAUGCGUAGAUAUCAGGAAGAACACCCGUGGCGAAGGCGGCUAGCUGGGCCGAGUCUGACACUCAUCCGCGAAAGCGUGGGGAGCAAACAGGAUUAGAUA
rnacentral:rRNA from 1 species